CCGUGAUCGUGGUCUGCA
rnacentral:snRNA from 1 species